rnacentral:lncRNA from 1 species
AAACAUUUUCCCACUUUAUACACCACAAAUUGAACCCCAACCUCACAAGUGCGGCGCCGCCAUCUACCCUCCGUCUCUCUCACUGAAACUCAUCCAUUCGCUUUCUUUGCCCUGAUAAAGGAAAAAAUUCCUCACUUAUUCAUACUCAUUUUUCUGAACUACAGCUAUCGAUAGCUUGGAGGCAUCAAAUGCUAUAUUUCUGGUACUGUGAUUUCCAUGCUUGCUGCUAUUCUGGUCUCUGAUGUUUUUGGUAUGUAUUUUCUAAAGUAUUUGAUUAUGGGUAUUGUAAAAUUUCAAUCUUGUGUUGAUUUACUGUUCCUUCUGUAGAGUUUUUAUUUUAUUUUUAAUUUUUUUUACAAAAUACAGGUGGUAAAAAUUAUUUAUAUUCAUGAACGUGUGUGUCAAUUCUAGGUUCCUUUUGGACAAGUUAGAUUUGUGUAUAAUAAAGUGGUUUAUAUCACAACAAGAUUUCAUUUUUGUUGCAUAUUUCAAUGGGGUUUUUCUUAUUUAAGUGUUGGUUGUUUGUAGGCUAAAUGAAAAAGGAUACCCUCGUAAUUAUAAUUUCACUGCCUAAUAGGAAAGGUUUUGUUUAUUUUCAUUAUUAUAGGAUUUUGGUGUUGCAAAGUUUGUAUCUUAUUGCUUAAUAUGGUAUUGAUGAUUUUUAAGACAUCUAAGCUUCUAUUCAUAUUCUGUUUUUCUUGGGCUUAGAAGUUAAUUAACAUUUUUUUGUAGAUGCCAAGCUAGUUGCUUUCAAGCUACUCAUCUUGCACAUGCGACUCGAGUAUUGACAUGCCUCUAGCAGAAAUGUUUUUCUUGUUUAAAUUCAUUUCACACUUUUUUUUCCAUUUAUUUAUCUUCCUUUAACUAAAGGAACCGAUAGAAGGUGAUCCAGGUAUUUGAGAACUGAAGCGAGGAUGAUGAUCAAUAUGACGUGAAGCAAGUUAAUUUCUAUAUUUUAUUUAUUACGAGAGAAAAAACAAUUCUCUCUUUUUGUGUUCAAAUUAAAGAAGCCUCCCUUCUAUUCGAGAGCUAAAUAUAGUCCUAGAAAGUUUGAUUAUGUUUGUUGAAAAGAUAGAUCUCAUUCUCUUCACUAUAAGGGAAGCAGUACUUAAUUAGAAUAUAAUUGUCACAUAGUCUUUUGGCUAAUUUUCAGAAACUAAAAGGGGAUAUAGGUUUGUUGUAAGAAGUGGAAGUGGAUAUACUUGCAUCCCAUGUAUAUCAUGUCAACCUGCUGUACACUAAUAUAUCCUUGUUUAUAGAAAUAAAUAUUUAUUAUUAUUUUUACAUUCUUAUUUUUCUCAUUUGGUUUGAUCUAUGCAGGAUAUGAAGCUCCUAACUUGAGGUACUUAAUCUUUAUUUUUCCCCCUAGAUUAGGAUAAGAUUCUACUCAUUGUACUUGUUAUUAUAGAACUUAUUGAUUUUGCAGAUGUUUCUUCCCUUUUCUUGGCAUAUGUUUGAUAUCCUUGUGUACCUAACUUGCUAGAUUCCUACAUACCCAUGUCAAAUUAAUGUAAAGCUAUAUAAUGUUGAGAUUCUAACUUGCUAGUUUCUUGAGUAGGGAUUUGAUAGUGGUUGUAGAAUCUUUAAUGGAAUCAGAGGUGGAUUUAAUAGUCUUGGUUUUGUUCUGGGCAGAAUCAAAAGGAAGUUUAAUAAACUUGGUUAGGUUCUUGAAUGAACCAAUAUUGGAUUUAACGAGCUUGGUUUUGUUCUUGGAUAAACUUGCAUUGGAUUAAAUGACCUUGGUUGUAUUUUUUGAGGAAGUAUGGUACAAGUAGUUUUCUUCUUAGUAACUGGCUCAUCUUCUUUUACCUAUAAUAUUGAUCUACUACCAAAACUAUUUGGUUGGUUUGGAGAGCAGAAUUUUGAAGUCAAGAAAACCAAGAGAAGACGCAAAAACAAUACCCUUUUCAGACUGAAAUCUUGGAGUGGAGCCAUAUGUUGAAAUGUACUGAAAUCUAUGUUUGUUUUCCUUUAGAAAUCUCUUAUGAGGCUUUUCCAAGAAUUUUAGGCCUUAGUUGGAUCUAGAUUUUAGGAAAUGUGUGGGUGUGUGUAAAAAGUUGUUCUGAAGUAUAGGAAAUAAGGAAAAGACCGUUAAUGCGAAGCACACAAGAUUAGAUCAU